AGGGAUGUAGCGCAGCUUGGUAGCGCGUUUGAUUGGGGUAAACAAUUUUUAACAAGUUAAAAUCCUCUCAUCCCUA
rnacentral:tRNA from 1 species